GAUGAAGAACGUAGCGAAAUGCGAUAAGUAAUGUGAAUUGCAGAAUUCAGUGAACCAUCGAGUCUUUGAACGCAAGUUGCGCCCGAAGCCAUUAGGCCGAGGGCACGCCUGCCUGGGCGUCACACGUCGUUGCCCCCCCAUCUACUCCUUCGGGAUUGCGGGGGGCGGAUGAUGGCCUCCCGUGCGCCUCGCCGCGCGGUUGGCAUAAAUGCCAAGUCCUCGGCGACGCACGCCACGACAAUCGGUGGUUGCGAAACCUCGGUUGCCCGUCGUGUGCGGUCGUCGCGCAUCGAGGGCUCGAAAAAAUUGCCGGGUUCCGGCUCGGCUUUCAACGCGACCCCAGGUCAGGCGGGGUUACCCGCUGAAUUUAAGCAUAUCAAUAAGCGGAGGA
rnacentral:misc_RNA from 1 species